UUGAGUUUAACAUAUAUUAAAAAUAUGCGACAGAAGACCCCAGACGUAACACGUGCAGCAGCUGGCAAUUGCGUUCACAAAAUAUGAUCCUCUAAUGGUUCCUGAACCGAUACGCUGCAGGUUACAACAAAUUAUGAGAAGAAAAUAAUAUGAGCAAAGCAAUAUGCUCCUAAAGCAGCUGUAUUCACUGAAUUAAGGGCACAUCAGGUGGUUAAUUUGCAAGAACAGACCAUUUGAAACGACCAAUAGCAAAGGUUAAAUAACCAAUAAACACAUGGCAUUUUGCUGGUGGAAAUAAAAAAAUAAAAAAGAACAACUUGCGAGCUUGAUGAUUUUAUUAUAUAUAUAUAUAUAAAUAUACACCCACAAAUAUAUAGAUGCAUAUAUACAUAUAUAGAUAUAUACAAGCGCACGUGCGCGCGCACACACAGAUCUACAUAUACAUAUAUAUAUAUAUAUAUAUAGACACACACAUCCAUAUCCAUAUAUAUAUACCAUAUAUAUACUUAUGUAUGUAUGUGUAUGCACACACACACAUACACACGUGCGCACGCGCGCCAUAUAUAUAUAUAUAUAUAUAUAUAUAUAUGGAUAUAUAGAUAGAUAGAUACGUACACAUAUAUGUACACAUACAUGCAUGCAUACAUACAUGUGUGUGUACACACACACACAUGUAUGUAUGUAUGUGUACAUGUAUGCGUACGUGUGCGUACACACACACACACACACACACACACACACGUAAGGAAAAUGUUGACAGCUACCACAAUGAAAAAACUGAGAAAAAUAGCUAAAAUAAAUUGGAACUCAGAUUGUACAAAAAGAAUACUGAUAUAUGUUGUAGUCAUACUUCACUCAACUAAAGAAACUAAUACAGCCUGAUACAAAUGAAACUAUAUAUAUAUAUAAUUAAAUGGCAUGAUCUCCACAAAUUUCUGAAAAUUCUGCGAUCCAGUGAGAUAUCAAAACAUCAUAUGAAACAGAGCUAAUCACAAAGUAGAACAUAAGUUUUAGCUUGUAGGAGUAAAACCAAUCUUCAAAGGAAUAAUUACACUCAUUCAAAAGAAAGAAAAGAUGUUCAACUUUGACCCAAAAUGAUUAGGUAAAUUAAAAGUAAAUCAAAUUGUCAUGUUACAAAAACAGAGACAACAAUUAUUUCAUUUGUUUCAGGCAUUAUCAUCAUGCUUUUAACAAUGGUACACGAUCCAAAGGUUCCAGAUUAACAUUAUAUCAUGAUCAAAAUAUAAGGAACGAUCUACAUCUGAUAAACAUAAAAAUAAUAAGCUAAAGGAAAAACCUCAAAUAUAAGUGACAGAAAACAGUCAUGUUGUUUGUCAAUUAAUGUGACAAAUUGUAGUGGAUAGUGGUUAUAUAUCUGGUGACUUCUCGCCUCCCUUGCAAUCAGAAAAAGAAAAAGAUUAAUGAUUAUAGCAUAACAAUCUAUUCCAAGAUUCUAACUUUAAGAAUUGACCAUUGUAUUAGGACAUCUACAGACGAGUGAAGGUAUUUUACCACUGACACUGUUAUAAAAGGUAUUGUAGAAUCCAUUAUAAUUCAAGGCCUUUUCACCUAAUCUAAGUUCACAUUUUUCACAAUAAAUAAAACCAUUACAUUGGUUAGUUAAGAAGUAACACCACAUUAUCCUUAUGCUUGAAACAAAGCCAAAAAAUAUCAGUCUUUAGAUUCAACCAGUGCCUUCACAUGUUUGACCCCAUGGUUCGCCCUACUAGACAAUAUCACCCUGUAACAAGUGGUUCUAUACCGCAGAAAUCAGAUAGCAAACCAAGUAGUAUUGGGGAUGUAAUGAGCAUUGGUACCAUAAAUUAACCUAUAUCAACACUAUAGCAGCAAAGUAGUGGUACAAAUAUCGAAACUGGUACCGUAAACCAUUAUAUAUAACAAUUACUAAGAAAUAAUCUGGGUUUAACUCAGACAAAUCAUCUUCUAUAUCGGAGCACAUCUCAUGGCUAGAAAUUGAAGAUGGAAGCCUCCAUGCAUCCAAAGCAAGAAUAAGAUUUCUGGGAUCAGUAAACCAAAGCGCACAUAUGCUUUC
rnacentral:lncRNA from 1 species